CGGUAAUACAGAGGGUGCAAGCGUUAAUCGGAAUUACUGGGCGUAAAGCGCGCGUAGGUGGUUUGUUAAGUUGGAUGUGAAAUCCCCGGGCUCAACCUGGGAACUGCAUUCAAAACUGACUGACUAGAGUAUGGUAGAGGGUGGUGGAAUUUCCUGUGUAGCGGUGAAAUGCGUAGAUAUAGGAAGGAACACCAGUGGCGAAGGCGACCACCUGGACUAAUACUGAC
rnacentral:rRNA from 1 species